rnacentral:rRNA from 1 species
AUUGAACGCUGGCGGCAUGCCUUACACAUGCAAGUCGAACGGUAACAGGUCCUCGGAUGCUGACGAGUGGCGAACGGGUGAGUAAUACAUCGGAACGUGCCCGAUCGUGGGGGAUAACGCAGCGAAAGCUGUGCUAAUACCGCAUACGAUCUACGGAUGAAAGCGGGGGAUCUUCGGACCUCGCGCGGACGGAGCGGCCGAUGGCAGAUUAGGUAGUUGGUGGGGUAAAGGCUCACCAAGCCUGCGAUCUGUAGCUGGUCUGAGAGGACGACCAGCCACACUGGGACUGAGACACGGCCCAGACUCCUACGGGAGGCAGCAGUGGGGAAUUUUGGACAAUGGGCGCAAGCCUGAUCCAGCCAUGCCGCGUGCAGGAUGAAGGCCUUCGGGUUGUAAACUGCUUUUGUACGGAACGAAAAGUCUCUUUCUAAUAAAGAGGGAUCAUGACGGUACCGUAAGAAUAAGCACCGGCUAACUACGUGCCAGCCGCCGCCGUAA